rnacentral:lncRNA from 1 species
CCUGGGAGGUCAGUGCAGGGUUCCUCCAUUUUGACAUGAGUAAAUUCUAGAUUAGGUAUUUGGCAGUUAACUCAUCUGGAUAUAUGGGAACAGAAGUGCCAGACACGUAGAUAAUAUUUGGAGAACAGGAGCAGACUUGGAACAUGCUGAAUAGAGGACAAGGAAGUAUCAUCAGACAAACUUAAAGAUGAUCUGACAAUGUCAUUUUCCAAGGGACUGAUAGAAAGAUUGAGUAUCAUGGAAUCAGAACAGACAACAGAGAAUCAGAUUUGGACUGAAUCAGAAUAAACAGGCAAUGCAGACACUUGUUCUCUGAAUCACAAUCAAGACUCAGUGCUGGAACAGAUUUGAGGAAUGUAUACAAUUCUUAUCUAAACUGAUGUCUGAUAUUUAACCAGGGGAGAGAAGAGACACCAGAUACUUGCAGACACAGAAGAAAUACCAUGUGCAAACAUACCCAGAAGACCACCAUCUGCAAGAGAAGGAGAGAGACCUCAGAAUACACCAAUGCUGCUGAAACCUUCAUCUUGGACUUCCAGCCUCCAGACUUUGAGAAAAUAAAUUUCUG